UACGUAGGUGGCGAGCGUUGUCCGGAUUUACUGGGCGUAAAGAGCGCGCAGGCGGCUGGUCAAGUCCGAUGUGAAAGCCCCCGGCUUAACUGGGAAAUUGCAUCGGAAACUGAUCGGCUGGAAGGUGGGAGAGGGUAGCGGAAUUCCCGGUGUAGUGGUGAAAUGCGUAGAUAUCUGGAGGAACACCGGUGGCGAAGGCGGCAUCCUGGACCAACAUUGACGCUGAGGAGCGAAAGCCAGGGGAGCAAACGGG
rnacentral:rRNA from 1 species